GGUCCAGCCUGCCCAGUGAUAUAAUUCAACGGCCGCGGUACCCUAACCGUGCGAAGGUAGCAUAAUCACUUGUCCUCUAAAUAAGGACUUGUAUCAACGGCACCACGAGGGUUGCACUGUCUCCUCUCUCUAAUCAGUGAAACUGAUCUCCCCGUGAAGAAGCGGGGAUAAAACCAUAAGACGAGAAGACCCCAUGGAGCUUCAAACUAAACAGCAACUUAAAUUACCCACCCCCCAUAGAAUAAAGAUAUGCCUGUAAGUUUUGGGUUGGGGCGACCGCGGAGAACAAAAUAACCUCCACAACGAAAAGAACUAAACCUUUAUCCAAGAGUCACCUCUCAAAGAAUUAGUAUUCUAACGGACAAUGACCCGAUUAUCGAUCAACGAACCAAGUUACCCUGGGGAUAACAGCGCAAUCUACUCCAAGAGCCCCUAUCGACGAGUAGGCUUACGACCUCGAUGUUGGAUCAGGGUACCCCAGUGG
rnacentral:rRNA from 1 species